AUUGAACGCUGGCGGCAGGCCUAACACAUGCAAGUCGAACGAGUGGCGGACGGGUGAGUAAUGUCUGGGAAACUGCCCGAUGGAGGGGGAUAACUACUGGAAACGGUAGCUAAUACCGCAUACCAUCGGAUGUGCCCAGAUGGGAUUAGCUAGUAGGUGGGGUAAUGGCUCACCUAGGCGACGAUCCCUAGCUGGUCUGAGAGGAUGACCAGCCACACGGGGCCUGAGGGAGGCACCAAACUGCUACAGGGGGCAGUGGGGGGAAAUAUGACACAAUGGGGGAAACCCUGAUGCAGCAACGCCGGGUGCGGAAUGACGGCCUUCGGGUUGUAAACCGCUUUCAGCCAUGACGCGGUAGUGGCAGAAGAAGCACCGGCUAACUACGUGCCAGCAGCCGCGGUAAUAC
rnacentral:rRNA from 1 species